rnacentral:lncRNA from 10 species
GAAGGCCUGAGAAGGUGACGGGAGUCCAGUGGAGAGUCUUAGAAAGGAUGUGGCUUCUUUAAAGGAAAAAUUGGGUGGAGUUUUGGAAGUGGGUCUUAGUGGACCCGAGAGGGGCUUAGAUAAGUCAAAUAACUUAGCAAUCAUGGUAGGACUUAAGGAGGAAUCCAGGAGGAACUUACGGGAUAAUAGUCAUCCAAACAGCUUACUUGUUGCGUCUUUGCUGUGCACCAGCUUAAGUGGGCACGUAGCAUUUAUUGCCACAAUUUUACUUAAUUCUCGCCACCACUCCAUGAGAGAGAGCCCCCACAUACCACUGUAUUCCCCGCCACCAUGGAUGACGUCCCCGCCCCAACCCCUGCACCAGCACCGCCCGCCGCUGCCGCCCCCAGGGUCCCGUUUCACUGCAGUGAAUGUGGCAAGAGCUUCCGCUACCGCUCAGACCUGCGGCGCCACUUUGCCCGG